GGUGACGGAAGUCAAGAACAAGCUGACAACUACCACCUGAAGGGGCAACACGCUUCUUUGCGCUUUCAGCAAGGGUACGCACGGUUAUGAAGAAAGAAGAGGGACAAAAAAGAGGAAAGAACAAAGAAAUAACACAGACAUGAGCACAACAAUAGCCACGGCAACACAGCUCCAUAUAUAUUUAGGCGUGGAGUGAUAUACGGGCAAGCGAAAUUUCGAGUCACCUUCUUUGUACAAGCUGUGUACAAGCCCCUCCUCCUCGGUUAUUAUUGAUCGGCAAUCAACCCAAUCACUGCUAACAAAGCACAGAAGACAGUAAAAUGUUUACUAAUUAAUGCCGCAGCAACCAAUUUUCAUGCCCGACAGAUAACAAAUAAAAUCAUGCAAUUUGA